rnacentral:rRNA from 1 species
AUUGAACGCUGGCGGCAGGCCUAACACAUGCAAGUCGAGCGGAUGAAGGGUGCUUGCGCGUGGUUUCAGCGGGGGAAGGGUGAGUAAUACAUAGGAAUAUCCUUGGCAGUGGUUGAUAACGUCUGGAAGAGGGCGGUAAUACUGCCUAAGUGCAGAGGGAGAAAGAGGGGGAGCUUCGGACAUUACGCUCUCAGAUGAGUGUAGGUCGGGUUAGCUAGUUGGUGGGGUAAAGGCCUACCAAGCCGACGAUCCGUAGCUGGUCUGAGAGGAUGAUCAGUCACACGGGAACUGAGACACGGUCCAGACUCCUACGGGAGGCAGCAGUGGGGAAUAGUGGACAAUGGGCGAAAGCCUGAUCCAGCCAUGCCGCGUGUGUGAAGAAGGUCUUCGGAUUGUAAAGCACGUUUAGUUGGGAGGAAGCGCAGUAGGUUAAUACCUAGCUGUUUUGACGGUACCAAGAGAAUAAGCACCGGCUAACUUCGUG